rnacentral:rRNA from 1 species
UCCGUAAGGUGAACCUGCGGAGGGAUCAUUACAGAGUUAUCCAACUCCCAAACCCAUGUGAACUUAUCUCUUUGUUGCCUCGGCGCAAGCUACCCGGGACCUCGCGCCCCGGGCGGCCCGCCGGCGGACAAACCAAAACUCUUGUUAUCUUAGUUGAUUAUCUGAGUGUCUUAUUUAAUAAGUCAAAACUUUCAACAACGGAUCUCUUGGUUCUGGCAUCGAUGAAGAACGCAGCGAAAUGCGAUAAGUAAUGUGAAUUGCAGAAUUCAGUGAAUCAUCGAAUCUUUGAACGCACAUUGCGCCCAUUAGUAUUCUAGUGGGCAUGCCUGUUCGAGCGUCAUUUCAACCCCUAAGCACAGCUUAUUGUUGGGAACCUACGGCUUCGUAGUUCCUCAAAGACAUUGGCGGAGUGGCAGUGGUCCUCUGAGCGUAGUAAUCUUUUAUCUCGCUUCUGUUAGGUGCUGCCCCCCCGGCCGUAAAACCCCCAAUUUUUUCUGGUUGACCUCGGAUCAGGUAGGAAUACCCGCUGAACUUAAGCAUAUCAAUAAGCCGGAGG